UACAGAGUGCUCGAGCGUUCGAAUCGAUCAUUGGGCUUAAAGCGUACGUAGGCGGUAUGUGCCAGGCGUACGUGUGAAAGCCCUCGGCGUCAACCGAGGGAAUUGCAGCGGCGGAACCGCACGUCUGAGGACAAGUGAGGGGCGGUCGGGAAACGAUAGGUGGGAGGUGGUGAAAUGCGUUGAUAUCUAGUCGGGAAACGCCCGGAGUGGUGAAAGGACGGAGGCCCGCUGGGGCUU
rnacentral:rRNA from 1 species